UAUGGUUCGAAUCGGCAUGCUCCAGUGAAUCUAAAGAGACCAGUUUUGAUUUUUGGCCAAAUCAUUCAAACGUUAUAAGCAAAAAUAGCAAUUUUACAAAUGUUCUGACCACUAGGUGGUGCUGUGCUGAAAUUUAAUCUCAGGUCAUGGUUGUGAUGACAUGGACUAAGUUUGGUCUGAAUACAUUAACCAUUGAGGAGAUACAGCCUUAUGCCUAUUUUCACAA